rnacentral:lncRNA from 1 species
ACAAAAUCAUCUUCCUUUUAUUAUCUUUCGUUCAUUUCACAAAUGUUCCAACGAGCAUUACGUCAAACAAAUUUACAAGCACAUGAAAAUCAAUACUUUCUAUUUGUACAGAACAUUAGCAACCAUGACAUAAAAAGAAUGGAAAUGGAAAUUUUAAAUCGUACAAAAAGGUGGAAGGGAACAGAUCGCAUGUGGACUGAAUAAAAAAAUCAAACGAAGGGAAAAUUACAUUGCAAUCUUGUUAUUAAGAUUUUAUAAGCUCGACGCAGAGGAAAAUCACGUGAAAAUUCAUGCACAAGUUCUCAAUCUCAUGAAAAAUUACAGAACAUGCUGAUGAGAUGCUUGUCGCCGUCGCAUGAUUCGAGCUCCUCCUCCGUGCCUUCUUUGUCGAUGCUGAGCUGUUGGCCGCCAUGGGAGACAUGGAGGAGCUUACCACCGCCGACGAGGAAGGUUGGGGACGGCUGCCUUUCAUAGCAAAUCCAUAGGGUGGUGAGAGAAAGGAGGAGAGAGUACUUCACCCGGCCGUGGAGGAGCCAGGCCCGGUGGCUUCCCAUCUCCCAUGUGGGCUCCUCAACUUCCAACCUCCACCACGGAGCCCGUAGAUACAGCGAUGCCCGCCGCUACAGCUGAUGUCGAGGUCCACGCGGAGGAGCUCGCCCUCUUCGGAUCUAGGGUCAACUUCUCACGGGUGGCCAUAGUUGGCAGGUCGCGGGGCCUCGAGCUCCACCAUGAAGCUCAUCUCCACCAGAUCUAGCCGAGGACGACGCUGUGCGGGCUUCAACUCCACAGAUCCAACAACCUCCUCCAUGACGGAACGGAGAAGGCCAGGCUCUCCUUCACCGGAGGAGAGAGAUAGUAGCCAUGGGUGGGUGGAGAAGAAAAUGGAGAGAGGCUGUCGGUUGGGAACUGAGGCGGUCGUGUGG